rnacentral:lncRNA from 1 species
UCCAUUCAGCAGUGUCUAGCAUGCCAGCUAGUACACUAGAGUCAGAGUACUCUAACCAAUUCCAUUAUAAACCCUUCUAUGGAAAAAUUUAUAAGUCUGCUAUAAAUGUUCACUCAAGCCUGAUCGGUGCCAAAGAACAUUUCUUUUUCCACUUAAAAAUAAUAUGAGAGCACUGUUUAUAGAUGAUAGAAUUACAAAAGGGGAGAGAGAGAGAGAGAGAUUUUCAAAGUCAUAAAUUGGAAUUGAAUAUCCAUCCUCUGUGCCUUGGAAUAAAUGCCAAUAACUUCAAAACAAAAAAAGUGUGGCAUAGGUUAUGGGAGAAACGUAUCCAUUUUCUCUGGAAUAAUGAAUUUCUUUGACAUCAAAAAAUGUAUGGGAAGGACACUGUAUUUUUCUACAUAUCAGGAAACCGCGACCACCAUAUGGAAGGAAACCUGCCCUUCAGGACAUGCAGGAAUUAGCAGACUGAAAGAAACUUCUUCUUUUCCUCUGGACUGA